GUUCUCAGUUCGGACUGUAGGCUGCAACUCGCCUACACGAAGCUGGAAUCGCUAGUAAUCGCGGAUCAGCACGCCGCGGUGAAUACGUUCCCGGGCCUUGUACACACCGCCCGUCACACCAUGAGAGUCUGUAACACCCAAAGCCGGUGGGAUAACCUUUAUAGGAGUCAGCCGUCUAAGGUAGGACAGAUGAUUAGGGUGAAGUCGUAACAAGGUAAC
rnacentral:rRNA from 1 species